rfam:Triticum aestivum genome assembly, contig: Triticum_aestivum_CS42_TGACv1_scaffold_543726_6DS
AUACUACUCCCUCUAUCCCAAAUUGCUUGUCUUAGAUUUGUCUAGUACAAAUGUAUCUAAACAUAUUUUGGUAUUAGAUAUAUCCAUACCUAGACAAAUCUAAUACAAGUAAUUUGGGAUGGAGGCAAUACUAG